rnacentral:piRNA from 1 species
CAGUCGGUACUUCUCCGCGUUGGCGUUC